rnacentral:lncRNA from 1 species
AUUAUAACCUGUUCAUAUCUGUAUAGCCAGUUUGAUUCUUUUCCAUUUUUUCCCAGAACUUCAACUGGAAGAAAAUAAGUGUAUCAUUCCUUAUGCUGGAAAUCUACCUCAUAUUCUCUCAUCCUUGUGGAGAGACUGGGAACACCUUUGCCUACAAAGAAUCAGAGACAAGUAUCAGACAGAUGGCAAUGGAAAGGCACAUGGCAUAUGUGAGUAGACUACAAUAUAUAAACAAUGAGGGACUUUGAUGGAGAACAGGAAUAAAGGAUAUCAUCAAAGAAUUUUAUGCCA